AGCGAACGCUGGCGGCAGGCCUAACACAUGCAAGUCGAACGCCCGGGGCAACCCGGGAGUGGCAGACGGGUGAGUAACACGUGGGAACGUGCCCUUCGGUUCGGAAUAACCCAGGGAAACUUGGGCUAAUACCGGAUACGUCCGCGAGGAGAAAGAUUCAUCGCCGAAGGAUCGGCCCGCGUCCGAUUAGCUAGUUGGUGGGGUAAUGGCCCACCAAGGCGACGAUCGGUAGCUGGUCUGAGAGGAUGAUCAGCCACACUGGGACUGAGACACGGCCCAGACUCCUACGGGAGGCAGCAGUGGGGAAUAUUGGACAAUGGGCGCAAGCCUGAUCCAGCCAUGCCGCGUGGGUGAUGAAGGCCCUAGGGUUGUAGAGCCCUUUCGGCGGGGAAGAUAAUGACGGUACCCGCAGAAGAAGCCCCGGCUAACUUCGUGCCAGCCGCCGCAGUAACAC
rnacentral:rRNA from 1 species